rnacentral:rRNA from 1 species
GACGAACGCUGGCGGCGUGCCUAAUACAUGCAAGUCGAACGCAGUGGGGACGGGUGAGUAACACGUGGGUAACCUCCCAUCAGAGGGGAUAACACUUGGAAACAGGUACUAAACCGAUACUGAUGGAUGGAACCGGGGUGCAUUAGCGAGUUGGUGAGGAAACGGCUCACAAAGGACACGAUGCAUAGCCGACCGGAGAGGGUGACCGGCCACACUGGGACUGAGACACGGCCCAGACUCCAACGGGAGGCAGCAGUAGGGAAUCUUCGGCAAUGGACGAAAGUUUAACCGAGCAACGCCGCGUGAGUGAAGAAGUUUUUCGGAUCGUAAAACUCGGUAGUUAGAAAAGCGGUAUCUAACCAGAAAGCCACGGCUAACUACGUGCCAGCAGCCGCGGUAAUAC